rnacentral:rRNA from 1 species
UACAGAGGGUGCGAGCGUUAAUCGGAAUUACUGGGCGUAAAGCGCACGUAGUCGGCUUUGCAAGUCGGGUGUGAAAUCCCCGGGCUCAACCUGGGAACUGCAUCCGAGACUGCAUUGCUAGAGUAUGGGAGAGGGAAGCGGAAUUUCUGGUGUAGCAGUGAAAUGCGUAGAUAUCGGAAGGAACAUCAGUGGCGAAAGCGGCUUCCUGGACCAGUACCGACGUUCAGGCACGAAAGCGUGGGGAGCAAACAGG